rnacentral:lncRNA from 1 species
CUUCCGACCACUGCGGGAGGAGGGUGCCGCAAGCCAGGCGCACCCCAGUGGCGCGCAUCCUCCCUUCCCGGCGGCCCCUGGCAGCCACGGGGCCCGGGGCCCAGAGCCAGAACCAGGUGCGGUAGAGCGGUCCGCAGACUCGGGCGCCCGGUCUGGGGGUGGUCUGCUGUGGGGGCUGGGUCAGACUGCACACCGGGCUAGGGAGAGGGAGACCGGUCGUUGCCUCGGAGUGUCUUACCAGCUGGCGGCCCUCUUCAGCAGACCAUCCGAAGGGCACACACCGAGAGCCAGCCCGGCUAGCUGCUCGCGCGGAGCUGGGGGCUCCGAGUCGGGAACGCAGCGUCGCCGUGGAGACUGCACGGCGCGUGGAGGAAGCUCGGGCAGCAGCCGAGGGUGGGGGCUGGGGGAAUUGGGCGACGGCGGGGGAGGUGGCGGGGGCGGGGGCGGGGGCAGGGGCAGCCCGGGGAACCACGGAGAGGCAGGGUGGAGGCGGGCCCAGGCCGUAGGGCGGUGGAGGGCGCGGGACGGAGCGGGCGCGGCGAGGAGGGCCCGGGGCGGGGCUGGGAGGCGGGUCCGGGGGGGCGGGGCGGGGCGGGCGGCCGAGCUGAGGGACAGCCCCGCGGUUGUGGGUGUCCCGCGGCGCCGGAAACUGGGCGCACACACCCUCGGAUUGACGUGCGCACGCGCACCGGUUACCUUCAGGAGCGCCGAAGAAGGAAAGAAGAUGGAGUUGAGCUCUGUCGCCCAGGCUGGAGUGCAGUGGCACCAUCUCAGCUGACUGUGACCUCCGCCUCCUGGGUUCAAGUGAUUCUCCUGCAUCAGCCUCCCGAGUAGCUGGGACUACAGGUGCACACCACCAUGCCCGGCUAAUUUUUGUAUUUUUAGUAGAGACGGGGUUUUGCCAUGAUGGCCAGGUUUGGUCUCAAACUCCUAACCUCAAGUGAUCCACCCUCCUCAGCCUCCCAAAGUGCUGGGAUUACAGGCGUGAGCCACUGCGCCCCGCCUACUUGAAUUUUUUUUUUUUUUUUUUUUUUUGAGACAGAGUUUUGCUCCUGUUGCCCAGGCUGGAGUGCAACGGCAUGAUCUCGACUCACUGCAACCUCUGCCUCCUGGGUUCAAGUGAUUCUCCUGCCUCAGCCUCCCAAAUAGCUGGGAUUACAGGUGCCCACCACUGUGCCUGGCUGAUUGUAUUUUUAGUAGAGAUGGGGUUUCAUCAUGUUGGUCAGGCUGGUCUUGAACUCCAGACCUCAGGUGAUCGGACUGCCUCGGCCUCCCAAAGUGCUGGGAUUACAGGCAUGACCCACUGUGCCCGGACCUGCUUGAAUUUUUAUGAUGAGCAUGUUGGCAGAUCACGACUGCCAGCUCCGUGACAGCAAGAACCUUGUAUGACUUUUUCAUGAUGGAUGUUCAUCUGUGCCAUCUGUAAAUAUUGAAUAAAUAUUUGUGGAAUACAUGAAUCUAAAAGUGAAUGGAAUGAUAAAGAGGGAAAGGGUCAUGACAUCUACUACAGCAUUUGGCACAGACCCAGCUGUCUGCAGUACUAUCAAGAGAUGACAUGGACUUCAAGGAUCAAACAGGGGAGAAAAAGGCUUAAAAGAAAAACAAGUCUCCAUCAAAGUCCUCCUGACAUCUUAAUCUAUCUGCCAACGCUACAUGCCGUCAAGCCAAGGAAGAAUUUCCUUCUCACUGUUGCUUCUCUGACCAAGGAAGACAUAAGCACAACCAAUCACCAGACUGAUGAAAUUCCUUCCAGUUUCAGAAAAGAUUAUCACCAAUCCCUACAUUAUAAAAUUCAUACUAAUAAAGCACAAACAUUGAAU